CCUACGGGCGGCAGCAGUGAGGAAUAUUGGUCAAUGGGCGCGAGCCUGAACCAGCCAAGUAGCGUGAAGGAUGACUGCCCUACGGGUUGUAAACUUCUUUUAUAUGGGAAUAAAGUGAGGCACGUGUGCCGUUUUGUAUGUACUUUAUGAAUAAGGAUCGGCUAACUCCGUGCCAGCAGCCGCGGUAAUACGGAGGAUCCGAGCGUUAUCCGGAUUUAUUGGGUUUAAGGGGUGCGCAGGCGGAGUUUUAAGUCAGCGGUAAAAUUGUGGGGCUCAACCUCAUCCAGCCGUUGAAACUGGGGAUCUAGAGUGCGGGAGAGGUAGGCGGAAUGCGUGGUGUAGCGGUGAAAUGCAUAGAUAUCACGCAGAACCCCGAUUGCGAAGGCAGCUUACUGGUGUACAACUGACGCUGAGGCACGAAAGCGUGGGUAUCGAACAGGAUUAGAUACCCUGGUAGUC
rnacentral:rRNA from 1 species